AGACUAUAAGCAUGGGGGCUGCAGAGAUAAAGAAAGAAGUGAAGGUCCUGAGGAGCUCACAGACAUACUACUCAUUCUGCUGUUGACCCAUCACCCCAAGUAACAAAAGAGCACCCCUACUAAUAUCCUGCUUCAGAUUUUCACAGUCGCUCAUUUAUGCUUGCAUUUCUGCUUUGCCAUUCCAACUAAGUGCCUUUAGAAUAAGGGAUCAACUUUUUUUCUCAUGGUGCUUAGCACGGUUUUAUAAAUUUAACACAUGUUUGAUAUAGCUUGUUAAUUUUUGAAAAAUCAGUCCAUAUACUGCUAGAGGUUUUCAAGGCUUCAAGUAAAUAAAAGAAUUACAUUUUGGAAAAAUAACUUAAUAAAUGAAAUCCUUGUGCCAAUAGGAGAAAAAGAAGAAAGGUAUGAAUGAUUUUUGGGUCCUUAUUAGAUGACUGGGGCCUGCUAUUUCAUUUACUCUUCAUAGGAAACUUAUACAAAUUAUGACAAUCCUCAAAUUGCAGACUUUAAGAUAAACUGGCUAAAUUGAAUGACUAUCAAAUGUGGCACAAGGAGUUUAGCCAAUGCCAGGGACUCUUUUGCAGCCACUGUGGUGACUCCAGCACAUGAAGAUGCCACCCAGAUGACAUUUGCUUUCAAGACCUUUGAACAGGCUGCCUUGAAAAGAAUGCUUUCCAAUGUGCAACUCUAUAUCUUCUGUGGCUCUGGCGUUUUGUGAAGCAUUGCUAAACCUAGUGCAGUAAACACCGAAAUGCAGCUGAGGAGUAAGGAAUCAUCUUUGCAUGAAAAGCGAAAACCUUCUCUUGUCCUGCUGGUUUGCUCUGUGGGCAGAAGUGAGGGGGCUGAGAGGUGGGAGGCCUGGACCCAAUGCUCCUAUGCUGUAUUGCUCGGGGUGACCUCGACAUCCAAAGACUUCAUUUUUAAGAACAAUCCAUCUGUGGUGAGGCUGUGGGUGGUAGUCUCUAAAAAGAUGAUGUAACUCCUUAUUAAAAGAAACUGUGGUGUUGGGAAUUAUUCUUCGGAGAGCGGGACUUCUUGCAAGAAAUUCCAAGAACCCCAGAAGCUUCUGGAUAGCAUAUGUGGGUCGAUGGAUGAAGACAUACUCUCUCCUCUGACAAAAUCUUUCUGUCUUGCAUCUAGGGAGCUGUGUAAUUGAAAUCAGAAUUCAGAAAGUGACCGUCGUGAUGUCGUUUACCCACAUCUUUCAUCAUGAGAAAACUAGAGGCACUGGAGGGAGGAAGUCACUUGCCCAGAGUGGCCCAGUGGUUAAGGAUGGUUGUGAUGAGCUGUGAAUGGCUCUGUGGAGCCAGCACAGUGCGUCUGGAGGCUGGUUCUGCACACCUUGGCCUGGUCCACUCACCUCACCCAUGCUCAGUCCUGUUCUCUGCCUUCCUGGCUUCUGACCUUAUCGUGGAUUUUUUGGUCCAGGCCUCACUCCUCCUAUAGGGUUUCACCACUGUUUCUCCUCUUAGCAACAUCUUCCCCCAGAAUAGGGCCAGGCGUGUAAACACAAAAAUAUGCCAGGUAAAAAAAUCCCACAGAAACUGGGCAGGUCAUCAAGUGAGAGGAUCACUUAAAUUCUAAUGUGUAGACCGUCCUGGCUGAAGCAAUAUGUCUGCCAGUUGGAACUGGCUGGAGCUUGCUGUAAACAGCAGACUUGAAAACCAGCAUGGCCCAGACUACGAACUAGGUUUGAUGUUUUGUUUGACAGGCAGGUCUAGAUGACCACUGAAAUAUCAUCAUCUCCUCGAACACUUUUUUCUUCUGAAAAUCAUUUAAAGUUUUUACCAUGUAAAGUGGUAGCUCAGUCCCUGUUUUCCAAGAUUGAGCCAUCCUCCUUUCCUUUGUGUAUCCCCACUGCCAUAUUGCCAUAAAAAUAAUAAGAAUGAAUAACAUUAACAACAACAAAUGUCAUUGCUGGAUGUUCACAUGUCAGGUAAGAUGCUAGGUGUGUUUUUAUUUAUUUAUUUUUUAUCUUUUUGAGAAGGAGUUUCAUUCUUGUUGCCCAGGCUGGAGAGCAAUGGCAUGAUCUCGGCGGCUCACUGCAACCAUGCCUCCUGAGUAGCUGGGAUUACAGGCAUGCACUACCAUGCCUGGAUAAUUUUAUAUUUUUAGUAAAGACGGGGUUUCUCCAUGUUCCUCAGGCUGGUCUCGAACUCCCGACCUCAGGUGAUCCACCAGCUUCGGCCCCCCAAAGUGAUGGGAUUACAGGCGUGAGCUACUGCACCCGGCCCGCGUGAUUUGUUUAAGAGCUAAUUCUAUCUUAUGAAAUGAAAUCUCUUCUUUAUUCCAUUUUACAGAUUAGGAAACUAAGGCAGAGCUGUUAAAUAACUUACUCAAGGUCUAGGAAAUGGCAUUGCUAAGGCUCAUUCCCAUGCGUGUCUUAUUCUAGAGUUCGUGUUCCUCAUUACUGGGCAUCUCGCUCCAUCAGCCAUCAGCAGCUCUGUGAAGACCUCCAGAACUCUUUUCUAACUUAAUUAUUUAGGAUUCUUCUCUACUGCUUGACCCAUGAGUUUUUAAAAGACAAGCACAAAGGGCUUCACACAUUAUAAGGACUCAAUAAACAUGUAUGCAUGGGUCAGUGAUGCCCCUGCAAAGCUUUGAAACUUAGAAUUGUGUGUUGACAUCAUCAUAGAUCAUCGCGUUGCUAAUGGAACUAACACAGGGCCUUGCAUGAAGGGAACACGUGGAAGAGUAUUUUUUUUUUACUUGUUUUGUUUUUAAUUCACAAUUGUCCCCUUUAAAUCAUGAUGAUGUGGUCACUGCAUUUUGCUGCAUAAAGGGCUUUUCCUAAAAUGGGACCCUUCGUUCUGGUCUCUUCCAAUUAUAACCUAACUUGAUGUGAAUAAAAUCAAGACUUUGC
rnacentral:lncRNA from 10 species